UACAGGGGGUGCAAACGUUGCUCGGAAUCAUUGGGCGUAAAGCGCACGUAGGCGGUUUGUUAUGUCGGAUGUGAAAGCCCUUGGCUCAACUGAGGAAGUGCAUCCGAAACUGGCAAGCUAGAGUACUAAAGAGGGUCGCGGAAUUCCCGGUGUAGAGGUGAAAUUCGUAGAUAUCGGGAGGAACACCGGUGGCGAAGGCGGCGACCUGGGUAGAUACUGACGCUGAGGCACGAAAGCGUGGGGAGCAAACAGG
rnacentral:rRNA from 1 species